rnacentral:rRNA from 1 species
AACGAACGCUGGCGGCAUGCCUAACACAUGCAAGUCGAACGAGACCUUCGGGUCUAGUGGCGCACGGGUGCGUAACGCGUGGGAACCUGCCCUUAGGUCCGGAAUAACUCCCCGAAAGGGGUGCUAAUACCGGAUAAUGUCUUCGGACCAAAGAUUUAUCGCCUUUGGAUGGGCCCGCGUUGGAUUAGCUAGUUGGUAGGGUAAAAGCCUACCAAGGCGACGAUCCAUAGCUGGUCUGAGAGGAUGAUCAGCCACACUGGGACUGAGACACGGCCCAGACUCCGACGGGAGGCAGCAGUGGGGAAUAUUGGACAAUGGGCGAAAGCCUGAUCCAGCAAUGCCGCGUGAGUGAUGAAGGCCUUAGGGUUGUAAAGCUCUUUUACCCGGGAUGAUAAUGACAGUACCGGGAGAAUAAGCUCCGGCUAACUCCGUG